UACAGAGGUCCCGAGCGUUGUUCGGAUUUAUUGGGCGUAAAGGGUGCGUAGGCGGCGGAGUAAGUUGGGUGUGAAAUCCCGGGGCUCAACCUCGGAAUGGCAUUCAAUACUGCUUCGCUCGAGUACUGGAGAGGAGGCUGGAAUUUACGGUGUAGCAGUGAAAUGCGUAGAUAUCGUAAGGAAGGCCGGUGGCGAAAGCGAGCCUCUGGACAGUUACUGACGCUGAUGCACGAAGGCCAGGGGGAGCAAACGGGG
rnacentral:rRNA from 1 species